rnacentral:lncRNA from 1 species
UCACAUGGGUCAUUCCAUUUAGUUGGGGGCCAGCUGUGUCGUGGGUGGUUUUUGUUUUGAGUUCAUCCGUGUGGUUAUUUAGAGUGGUGUGGACAUUUUUCUUAAUCAUAAUAUUUUUAAGUAAGGAUCAAAGUAUAUCACCGGAAGAAAAAACAAAGAAAAAAGAUGGAUAAAUAAAGAAAAAAUAAUGAAAACAUGUGACGUGUCUCCAACUUUUUUGUGGUAUUUUUGGUACAUGAAAAGUAUUGUUACUAUAAAAUCCUACAAAGAUCUUGGAAAACAGUUGAGAGCAAUAACUUAGUGAUUAAAUGUAUCUUCGAUAUUGAAGUAAAACAUCGUGCGGUUCCCGUUUUUCGAUCGUAAUGACAACUUGUUUUUUUUGUGCAAGCAAAAUUUUGUUCACAACGUAAAUGUUCGUGUCGCUAGUUUUACGUAUGAAACGGACCUUUUCAAGCUUAAAUAUUUUCGAAUAAAAUGUCAACAAACCAGAAGAAAUAAUACCUAUAAUAUCAGGCCAAAUAAGGUCUUAGAAUUAAAUAUGAAUCACAUGGGUAUCGCAAUAAAAUGAGUCAAAAUAUUACUGCUACUCUCUUAGUUCACAAAUUGGUGUCUCGCCAAAAUUUUACGAUGUGAAUUUUGAGAUCGUUCUCCCGACACGAUCUGCGCCUUGAUGAACAAGCAAAUCAGUUGAUAAAGAGCCCUGAUGAAGCUAUCGCAUGAAACUACCAUGCGGUUCUUGCCGCGAUGAUACUCCGAUUAUUUUUUAGACCAAAAUUGUUUCGUGUCGCCCAUGUUUACGUUGUGAACAUUGCGGACGAAUGUUACGUUGUGAGAGGCUUUCUAAUCAGAAUUCAAAGUGUCAUCAUCUUCCCAUUCAAGUUCGAUUCAUGCAACAAAGACAGAGGGACCUGUACGACUUUUCAUCUGAGUCAGAAGCAACCCAUCCUAUGUCUGAUAUUUUUACAGUUAUGAUCGACCCCUUCCCAGUAUUUGAUGGCAGAGCUAGCUGUUACUUACAAGUUCACCAAUAUGAUGAACUUGAUUGAAUUCAUUUACAAACUUUAUCCUGAAAUAAAAAAGCAAUAAUUUCAGUCUAAACAGGAACAAGAAAUAUGAUCAAUUGAAAAGGUUGUUAGUAUGAACGUUAUAUUCUCAAUAUAAAACUUUUUUGUAAUGAUUGUUGUUGCAAAGUUGGCUCACUUGGCUGAUGGCGUCCCUCCAAUCAAUGAUGACGUCAAUAAACACCAUAAUGUAAUAAUUAAACAGGAAGAAUUGAAGAUGGAAAAUUAAAGUCAACAAUAAACAAAUGCUUUUAUCAGCUGCGAGAUACAAAUUUCUGUCUGAACAGGAACAAGAAUUAUGAUCAACUGAAAAGGUUAAUGUUAGUAUGAACGUUAUAUUCUCAAUAUAAAACUUUUUUGUAAUGAUUGUUGUUGCUAUAAUGUUAGUUGAUGGCGCCCCUCCAAUGAAUGAUGAGGUCUCUAAACAUUUAACAUAAUGUUAAUUAAAACAUGAAGAUGGAGAACUGAAGUCAACAUUGAAAUAAAUCAACACUAAAUAAAA